rnacentral:lncRNA from 1 species
GAAAAUGUCUCUUUUAAUAUACUUUACAGUAGUAAAACUAUAACAUCUCAAUUGUUUUUUUUAAAUAAAUUUGAAUAAUGGUUUAGGUCAUUUGAUAAAUAUCACCUUGUAACUAAUAAGAUGAAACAAGGCUAAAUAGGACCAAUUAAGCACGUGAUUUAAAUAUCGAUAUGUAGUGAGUAAAAGAGUAAUCCAACUACCAGUAGAAGAUUACUACAUUUAGUACUAUAACAAGUAUAACACUGUUCCUAAAAAAAAGUGCUUUCUUAUGUUUAAGAUUUAUUUUAAUGUCAAACACAAAUAAUUAGAUCUUUAAAUGAACAAUUUGGGAGUUAAAUCCAUUGCUUCUGAUUUUUAUAGAUUUUAUGGUCUAGGAAAUCUAUACUGUCUGAUUUGAUCCCAUUUAACUGUAAGAUUUUUACACAUGUUGCACUCUACUAGCUGGCAGGAAAAUUAUUUUAAUCGACUGAAUGAAAGUAUUAUUUCAUGUAAAAGUUUAUUAUAUCAAGGAAAUGAUUUAGGUCAGAAGCUAGAAUCUAUAUAAAGUCAGCUUUUGAAAAUAAAGACAGACAAAUCUUUUUUUACAUUAUUAUAAAAGAGCUAAGUUGCAAACAACUAUCCUUGAGACCAGACCAUUUUUUUUUAAGCUGAAAUUUUCUAAUAAUUGCAAUGGCAAAACACCAUUUGCAAUUUCUUCCCUCCCACCUCCCAGGUGGUUCAACAAUUCCACUUCCAAACAGCAUUUCCCAUCAGUUUUUAAAAGCUACUUACAAAGUGUUAUUCUACUACCACUUUUAAAUACAUCAAGCACUUCCAAAUAUCUAGAAAGACUAGAUAUUUCAUAUAACUUGUCCACCACAUACACAUCACUGUUAAAUAAAAUUGCACACACAUAACAAUGGUUAUCAUCUGAGGUAUCUUCUAAAUGUGGCCAUUUUGGCCUUGAAUCAUUCCCUCCUCCCUUCCUUCUCUGCCUUCAAUCCAGUGGACAAGUACAGGCACAUGUAAUGCUUAGAGAUGGUCGAACAAAUUCCUAUGCAAAAGUCUUUACAGAAGACAAGUUUUCCUAUGAAUUUUAACACAAAGCGUACAAAAUAUGCUAAUUUUACUACUUUGUCAUACACUGGCAACCUCUUUAACAACUAGAGACUAGAUGUUGAAAAAUUAGGACUAUUUGUCCAUUAUAUAUACUAUAUACAGAGCAAAACAAAAUGCACAAAACGUAUAGAAAAAUGGUGUCUGAAAAUGUCCAAGUAUGAACACACUAGUAUAUUACCUCUUGCAAUUUCUUCCCUCCUACCUCCUCUAAACCAUUGAACAAGUAUACACAUUACUAUACUGCUCACAAAGGUGGCUUCACAAUUCAAUUUCCAAAAGCAUUUCCUAUGAAUUUUAGCAAAAAGAUAUUUACAAAGUGGUAUUUUACUACCUAUACAUUUAACAUACAUCGGGCACUUCUAAACAUCUAGAUAGACUAGAUGUUUCAAGUAAGGAGUUAAUUUGUCUACUAUGUAUACAGCAGUCUUGAAUAAACUGCAAACAUGUAACAACAGUUAUAAUUUGAAAGAGUCUUCCAAAUGUGAACAUUCUGGCCUAGAACCCUUCCCAUCGCCAUCAACCCAGAAGACAUCAAAUUUUCAGAAGACAAUCUUUCCUAGGACUUGUAAAACAAAAUGUACAAAAUAUAUUAGUUUACUAACUCUACUUUUGUCAUACACUGGCAACCUCUUUAACAUCCAGAAAGACUAGAUGUUGUCAAUUAGGACUCGUCUGUCCUUUAUGUACAUUAUAUACACAGAUAAGUAAAACAAAAUGCACAGACAUACAUCUUGCCUCGCUGUAAACAGGAUGGCAUAGAGCUCUCUGCACCUCCCCCUCCUCUCUCCUCCCCUGAACCACUGCACAAACACAAUGAGUAUUACUCAACAGGUGAUUUGACCAUUCCCCCCAAAAAAUAUUUCCUAUGAAUUGUAACAAAAAGGUAUUUACAAAAUGUGAUUUUGCUACCUCUAAUUUUAACAUAUCAGGCACUUCAGAACAUCUAAAAAGAAGAGACAUUUCAAAAAAGCUUAGCAUUGUCAACUAUAUACACAGUAGUGAGGAAUAAAAUGCACACAAAACAAUGGAUAGAAUAUGAAAAUGUCUUCUAAAUAUGACCAGUCUAGCAUAGAACCUUCUUCUCUUCCUUCUCAGGUCUUCCAGCUCCAUGUCAUCUAACCCACUUAACAAACGUGAACGUAUCGCUUCCAGAGGCCGUCUUAACAAUUCCAUUUCCAAAAGUCAUCUCCAGAAGACAUGUAUUUUCUACGAUUUCUUUUAAACAAAUGAGAAUUUACAAGAUGUGUAACUUUCUAACUCUUUUAUCAUAACUCGACAACCUCUUUCCAUCUAGAAGGGCUAGAUGUGACAAAUGUUUUCUAUUAAAAGGUUGGGGUGGAGUUGAGAGCAGCUUUUUCAUAUUAUAUACACAGGCCUUCCAUAAACGGCCAGUAAAUCUUCCCAGAGGGUGGUGGGCAUUUCCAACUGGCCAAACGUGGCCUGUCAUUCUACCAUUUCUCUCUUCCGACAGCAAAGUCUGGUAGAAUGAAGACCAACCGCCCGAUGGCCGCUAACCGUUCCACCCGUCGUUGUUCGGGACUUCGCUCACCUUUCAGGCCCCUUAAGGCCUUUGUCCGUUGUCGUCAGGACUAGGUUUUCUAAUUUGGGUAACUUGAUGAGUGGUGCUGCCAAUACUGGAAUUAAGAAAUAUAAAUUUAAUGCUUGGAUUGAUGAUAUAACUCAAUGAAGAGACUGACCAUGCUUGUUCACGUUUCAUAAAAAGAACAUAAAAAAUAGAUUUCUAUUCAUGGCAAACAGAAGAUCUCACUUCUCAAUCUACUGCCAUCAUGGGACCAUGACCUAAAUAUCUCAACUUAAGGCAAGAAAAUAAAGUACAAGCAAACCAAACUUGAAUUUCUCAUGUUACAGAAGAUGCAUUCAGGAUAAUAUUUUAUAUUAUUGAGAAAAAGCAAAAGAAAAUCAGAAAUUUGUAUUGAUGAAAAAAAAAAGUUGUUCUUGGCCAAAAACAUCAAUCAGCCUCAUCUCCAGAGUGAUCCUCCAAACUCAGGGAGAAUUGCAGUGAAUGACAGUUCCUAUUUCUCAACAUCAUUGUCAGCAUUUGAUGCCGUCAGUGUCCUAGAUUUUGACCAUUAUAAUAGUCAUCCUCCUUAGCCACCUCUGAUGAGUGCAUUGAAGAGGAUGACCUGCUUGGUUAUUCUGCUUCCCGAAUACAAAAAAUUAGGCUUCUGAAAUCAAACAUAAGAAGUCAUUGUUGCUUUUAUUCCAGAGACUGGGUCUCGCUGUGUUUCCCAGGCAGGUCUCUAACUACUGGGCUCAAAUAUCUGUCUGCUGCAGCCUCCCAAAGUGAUGGGAUUAGAGGCAUUAGCCACCCCACCCAGCCUCAACCAAGGAGUCUCGCUCAGUCGCCUCGGCUGGAGUGCAGUGGCACCAGCUCGGCUCACUGCAACCUCCGCCUGCUGGAUUCAAGUGAUUCUCUUACCUCAGCUUCCCGAGUGGCUGGGAUUACAGGCACCUGCCACAACGCCCGGCUAAUUUUUUUGUAUUUUAAAUAGAGACAGGAUUUCACCAUGUUGGGCAGGCUGGUCUUGAACCCCUUACCUCAAAUGAUUCACUUGCCUCGGCCUCCCAAAGUGCUGCAAUUACAGGCAUGAGCCCCCUCGCCCGGCCAAGAUGAACUAAUUUAAACAAAUAUUUAUAUUGAUCAUCAUAGUACAUCCAUCUUUGUUGGAUGUAUUAAUACCACAGUAUAAAUUGAUAAUAUUAAAUAUUACCAAUUCUAUCAGACUAUCAGAUGUUCAGACAUCUGAAGUCCUUGUUGGUAUCACUUGCCCAUUUUUAAUGAUAUUUGCUCACAAUAUAUGUUGAUUUCUUUUCUAUUUCAGCAGCUGUUUGUGCUAAUGUGUCAGGUUAAGAU